ACCAAGUGGCUGAAUUGUUUGUAGUGGUUAAUGUCUGUGUGAUGAUGAACGAAAUCUUCCUUUAAAAUGUGGUAAGUAUUGUAUGAUUUGCUUCAUUUUGCAUUAAUCAUGGUUUGGACUCUUCAGAAUGAUGCAUUGGAGCUAUGCAACAGAAUAAGCAAUGCCAUUGACCGCGUGGACCACAUGUUCACAUCAGAAUUUGAUGCUGAGGUUGAUGAAUCUGAAUCUGUCACCUUGCAACAGUACUACCGAGAAGCAAUGAUUCAGGGGUACAAUUUUGGAUUUGAGGUAGGUUCAAAAUAAGAGGAAACACACGGUACAAUUUAGUAAUUGCUUGAUAACUUACAGAAAGUUUUUGGAACCUUUUACAGUAAAUCUGAUAUUGUAAUCAUAGCUUAAUCAAGAAUAUCAUCUUAUAUCACUGCUGUAUAUCAGAGAUGUUGUUUACUUUUAAACUGUUAGGUAAUUGUCCAACUUUUAUUUUGUGCUAACAGCCAUCUACUUACAUUUUAAAACUUUAAAGAGAUGUUUUAUAUCAUAAAAGCACAUUCUUAAUUUAAACUCAGGAGUAAAACAUUUAUGAAACUGCAUUUUGAAACACUGUACUUUCCAUAAUUCUUCAUACUAUUCAAAAUAUAGAAAUUUUAAUUGGAUUUCACUUUUUGUUUUUAGAAAACAUUUUAGACAUGGCAUUAUAGUGUGUGAUAUUAUUUAAUGAUCAUUUCCUUAAUGUUGAUAUACAUGAAAUCUUCUUACAGUAUCAUAAAGAAGUUGUUCGUUUGAUGUCUGGGGAGUUUAGACAGAAGAUAGGAGACAAAUAUAUAAGCUUUGCCCGGAAGUGGAUGAAUUAUGUCCUGACUAAAUGUGAGAGUGGUAGAGGUACAAGACCCAGGUAAUGACCAAGUAGGAUGUUUCUGAAAUGCGUCAUGUGGGCUUGGUGUGGUAUUUAUUCAUAUAUGUUCUGUGGGAUUCUUUUCGAGCAGACGACACAGAAGGGAACACUCUAAACUCUUCGGUGAUCAGGUUUUUUUUAAUGGAAAAAUAUGUAGAGAAAACUGCGUAACUCUUGGGAAAAAUUUUUUUUUUAAAUUUGUUCCAAAUUUGAGUUACCUUUAAGGGAACUCAUGUUCUCCUUUGACAAGUCUUCCUGAUGACUAAUGUAUUUUCCUCCCUCAUGAAAUUUAUUCAUUAAGAAACCAUUUUGGAAUUUGCAGGGGUGAAAUGGGUGAAUCAUCUGUGAGGCUCAAUAGUAGCUCCACUAAAGUAAACAUAGUUAUUAAAGUGUCAUGACUGUGUGAGAAAUAGCUGAGUGUUCUGUAAUUUGUAAUGGAGGGAUAGCAUGGGGCACUUUCUUAAAGUCAUUAAGCAAUUUCUCCAAGUUAGAGAAAACACAUUUGCUGCAUCUGAGAUUCAAAGUAGGAACUUUGUGUUACAAAACUCAUAAAUACUUGUUGAAUUACAAAUAAAUAAUUGUUUUUACUUAUAAAAAUGAAAUACACUGUAUUAUUUUAAAUUACAUACAAUUUGUGUUUAUACCUGUUUUCUUUUAAACUAACUGAAAAUAUUUUGGGUAGCAUGUUUUUAAAAAUAUACUGAAAAUUAAUUUGUGCUACUUACAUAAUUAAGAAAGUAUGCAUGUUUUCUCUUUACCUUUCCCAUUUUCUUUUGGUUUCUAGAGUUUACAAGCCUUGAUGAAUGAAUGCAUUGGCCAUGUCAUAGGAAAACCACACAGUCCUGUUACAGGUUUGUACCUUGGUAAGACAGCCAUUACAGCAUUUCUUCUGGAACAUAAUGAUUUGAGUGGACAAAUCCUCUUGUAAUUGCAGUCGUUUAAAAUGGUACAAGAGGUGUUUUAACAGUAUUCAGGAAAACGACAAUGAGAGGGACAGAAAUGAGGUGUGUAGAUACAGAACUCCACAGCAACCUUUCUAAAUCUGACAGGAAGAUUAAAAUGUCAGCCAUAAGCUAUUCCAUACUAGCCAGCAGUAUUCAAUUAUACAUUUUUUUCUAUACCAAUACUACCCUUCUUUUUUCCCCCUUACCAUCUUUUCUGAUGGGGAGGAAAGACUGAAAGAGGGCGUUGUCUGCCAAGCAACAGGAACUGCCCCUGCUGCAGGUGGCUGCAGAUCACUUCCCUGUCGCCUGUUCCUCACCUUUGAGGAGAGCAGUGUCCAUUUCUCCACAGCUUUCCCAA
rnacentral:lncRNA from 1 species